UACACGUGUGUGUGUGUUUAAUUUUGGACUCCCCGAGGAUCGUUUCGGUGACAAGGCAAAAAUGCAUGCACUACUAUAACUAUCAACCAUACCAGCUCUCAAAUCCCAACAGUUUCUUCUCAAAAUGGAGACACAAAUCAACAGCUGGCAUGACAGAGCAACAGUCUGAAGAGAAUCUUGCUUAGGAAGUACUGAAAAUUUACAACAAAAUCCAGCUGGCUGUAGAGACUUGAAACUUGAGGGAUGGUGGUACUCACACUGCCGACAACGUGACCAGAACUCGCCCAUCCUGAUGGAGGCACUACAAUGAUCAAAAGACUCGGCAGCAUCACUGCAGUCUAACAGCCAGCCACUUGCCUUAUUUUAUUUCCAAAAACUGAACUGUAAUGUUCAUCAAAGUAACAUCCCAGACCUUCAAGAUGCUUCCAGACAUCCCACCCAACCUGCAUGCCAGCGCCAAAACACGCCACCCUCCGAGC